AUGGUACUACGGAAGCAUGAUGGAAGUAUUAUCUUCGCUGCUUAUCGCUACAUCUUCAAUUGCAAUGACGCACUCGAGGCGGAACUACAUGCGCUAAUGCACGGCAUGGCGAUAGCGAUCCAUCAUUGCGAGCUUCCCAUCAUCGUCCAGUCUGAUUCAUCGUUAGCUAUUUCCGCUUUAUCUGGUACUAGCUUAUCUAGAUCUGCCUAUGGGCAUCUUGUAAAUGAGAUUCGUCAUCUCAUGGUAGAUAGAGUUUUUAUUUCUAUGAAAAUUAGCCGCUUGCAAAAUAGGGUAGCAGAUCGUCUGGCCUCUUACAGUCGUACAGAGCGUACAACUGCUGUAUGGCUGGGUCGAGGACCACCGUGUGUGGAGGAACUUGUGCCUCUCGAUUGUAACCCUGUGACUAUGGAAUAA
rnacentral:rRNA from 1 species